AUUAAACGCUGGCGGCAUGCCUUACACAUGCAAGUCGAACGGCAGCACGGGGGCAACCCUGGUGGCGAGUGGCGAACGGGUGAGUAAAACAUCGGAAUGUACCCAGUAGUGGGGGAUAACUAGUCGAAAGAUUAGCUAAUACCGCAUACGCACUAUGGUGGAAAGCGGGGGAUCGCAAGACCUCGCGCUAUUGGAGCAGCCGAUGUCCGAUUAGGUAGUUGGUGGGGUAAAGGCCUACCAAGCCUGCGAUCGGUAACUGGUCUGAGAGGACGACCAGUCACACUGGGACUGAGACACGGCCCAGACUCCUACGGGAGGCAGCAGUGGGGAAUCUUGCGCAAUGGGCGAAAGCCUGACGCAGCAACGCCGCGUGCGGGAUGACGGCC
rnacentral:rRNA from 1 species